AUGAACGCUAGCUACAGGCUUAACACAUGCAAGUCGAGGGGCAUCAGGGUGUAGCAAUACACCGCUGGCGACCGGCGCACGGGUGAGUAACACGUAUCCAACCUGCCCUUUACUCGGGGAUAGCCUUUCGAAAGAAAGAUUAAUACCCGAUGGUAUAACAUGACCUCCUGGUUUUGUUAUUAAAGAAUUUCGGUAGAGGAUGGGGAUGCGUUCCAUUAGGCAGUUGGCGGGGUAACGGCCCACCAAACCUUCGAUGGAUAGGGGUUCUGAGAGGAAGGUCCCCCACAUUGGAACUGAGACACGGUCCAAACUCCUACGGGAGGCAGCAGUGAGGAAUAUUGGUCAAUGGGCGAGAGCCUGAACCAGCCAAGUAGCGUGAAGGAUGACCGCCCUAUGGGUUGUAAACUUCUUUUAUAUGGGAAUAAAGGGUGCCACGUGUGGCAUUUUGUAUGUACCAUAUGAAUAAGGAUCGGCUAACUCCGUGCCAGCAGCCGCGGUAAUACGGAGGAUCCGAGCGUUAUCCGGAUUUAUUGGGUUUAAAGGGAGCGUAGGUGGACAUGUAAGUCAGUUGUGAAAGUUUGCGGCUCAACCGUAAAAUUGCAGUUGAAACUGCGUGUCUUGAGUACAGUAGAGGUGGGCGGAAUUCGUGGUGUAGCGGUGAAAUGCUUAGAUAUCACGAAGAACUCCGAUUGCGAAGGCAGCUCACUGGACUGCAACUGACACUGAUGCUCGAAAGUGUGGGUAUCAAACAGGAUUAGAUACCCUGGUAGUCCACACAGUAAACGAUGAAUACUCACUGUUUGCGAUAUACAGUAAGCGGCCAAGCGAAAGCAUUAAGUAUUCCACCUGGGGAGUACGCCGGCAACGGUGAAACUCAAAGGAAUUGACGGGGGCCCGCACAAGCGGAGGAACAUGUGGUUUAAUUCGAUGAUACGCGAGGAACCUUACCCGGGCUUAAAUUGCAAAUGAAUAUGCCGGAAACGGCAUAGCCGCAAGGCAUUUGUGAAGGUGCUGCAUGGUUGUCGUCAGCUCGUGCCGUGAGGUGUCGGCUUAAGUGCCAUAACGAGCGCAACCCUUAUCUUCAGUUACUAACAGGUCAUGCUGAGGACUCUGGAGAGACUGCCGUCGUAAGAUGUGAGGAAGGUGGGGAUGACGUCAAAUCAGCACGGCCCUUACGUCCGGGGCUACACACGUGUUACAAUGGGGGGUACAGAAGGCCGCUACACAGCGAUGUGAUGCCAAUCCCUAAAGCCCCUCUCAGUUCGGAUCGAAGUCUGCAACCCGACUUCGUGAAGCUGGAUUCGCUAGUAAUCGCGCAUCAGCCACGGCGCGGUGAAUACGUUCCCGGGCCUUGUACACACCGCCCGUCAAGCCAUGGGAGCCGGGGGUACCUGAAGUACGUAACCGCAAGGAGCGUCCUAGGGUAAAACUGGUGACUGGGGCU
rnacentral:rRNA from 1 species